rnacentral:rRNA from 1 species
CUAAGCAUCAGGUAACAUCAAAUCGUACCCCAAACCGACACAGGUGGUCAGGUAGAGAAUACCAAGGCGCUUGAGAGAACUCGGGUGAAGGAACUAGGCAAAAUGGUGCCGUAACUUCGGGAGAAGGCACGCUGAUAUGUAGGUGAAGCGACUUGCUCGUGGAGCUGAAAUCAGUCGAAGAUACCAGCUGGCUGCAACUGUUUAUUAAAAACACAGCACUGUGCAAACACGAAAGUGGACGUAUACGGUGUGACGCCUGCCCGGUGCCGGAAGGUUAAUUGAUGGGGUUAGCGGUAACGCGAAGCUCUUGAUCGAAGCCCCGGUAAACGGCGGCCGUAACUAUAACGGUCCUAAGGUAGCGAAAUUCCUUGUCGGGUAAGUUCCGACCUGCACGAAUGGCGUAAUGAUGGCCAGGCUGUCUCCACCCGAGACUCAGUGAAAUUGAACUCGCUGUGAAGAUGCAGUGUACCCGCGGCAAGACGGAAAGACCCCGUGAACCUUUACUAUAGCUUGACACUGAACAUUGAGCCUUGAUGUGUAGGAUAGGUGGGAGGCUUUGAAGUGUGGACGCCAGUCUGCAUGGAGCCGACCUUGAAAUACCACCCUUUAAUGUUUGAUGUUCUAACGUUGGCCCGUAAUCCGGGUUGCGGACAGUGUCUGGUGGGUAGUUUGACUGGGGCGGUCUCCUCCUAAAGAGUAACGGAGGAGCACGAAGGUUGGCUAAUCCUGGUCGGACAUCAGGAGGUUAGUGCAAUGGCAUAAGCCAGCUUGACUGCGAGCGUGACGGCGCGAGCAGGUGCGAAAGCAGGUCAUAGUGAUCCGGUGGUUCUGAAUGGAAGGGCCAUCGCUCAACGGAUAAAAGGUACUCCGGGGAUAACAGGCUGAUACCGCCCAAGAGUUCAUAUCGACGGCGGUGUUUGGCACCUCGAUGUCGGCUCAUCACAUCCUGGGGCUGAAGUAGGUCCCAAGGGUAUGGCUGUUCGCCAUUUAAAGUGGUACGCGAGCUGGGUUUAGAACGUCGUGAGACAGUUCGGUCCCUAUCUGCCGUGGGCGCUGGAGAACUGAGGGGGGCUGCUCCUAGUACGAGAGGACCGGAGUGGACGCAUCACUGGUGUUCGGGUUGUCAUGCCAAUGGCACUGCCCGGUAGCUAAAUGCGGAAGAGAUAAGUGCUGAAAGCAUCUAAGCACGAAACUUGCCCCGAGAUGAGUUCUCCCUGACUCCUUGAGGGUCCUGAAGGAACGUUGAAGACGACGACGUUGAUAGGCCGGGUGUGUAAGCGCAGCGAUGCGUUGAGCUAACCGGUACUAAUGAACCGUGAGGCUUAACCUU